rnacentral:rRNA from 1 species
AGGACGAACGCUGGCGGCGUGCUUAACACAUGCAAGUCGAACGAGAUCCAUUUGGUGGUAACACCAGAGAAGAUCUAGUGGCGAACGGGUGCGUAACACGUGAGCAACCUGCCCCAAAGUUUGGAAUAACACCGGGAAACCGAUGCUAAUACCAAAUAUGCUCACACUAUCACAAGAUAGAGUGAGGAAAGUUUUUCGCUUUGGGAGGGGCUCGCGGCCUAUCAGCUUGUUGGUGAGGUAACGGCUCACCAAGGCAUCGACGGGUAGCUGGUCUGAGAGGACGAUCAGCCACACUGGGACUGAGACACGGCCCAGACUCCUACGGGAGGCAGC